AGAUAAGAUUUUUACUGAAAUUACUGUUUACCCUCCAAGAAGAUAGUCAUGGCAGAACGAGUCCUCAACCGUGUUCACAGCCUCCGCGAGCGCUUAGAUGAAACUUUAAUUGCUCAAAGAAAUGAAAUCCUGGGCCUCCUCUCAAAGAUUGAGGCCAAAGGAAAAGGAAUCCUGCAACAUCAUCAACUGAUUGCUGAGUUUGAAGCAAUUCCUGAAGAGAAUCGAAAGAAACUAGCUGAUGGGGCAUUUGGGGAAGUCCUGAGAGCCACUCAGGAAUCCAUAGUUUUGCCCCCAUGGGUUGCUCUUGCUGUUCGUCCAAGGCCAGGUGUGUGGGAAUAUAUUAAAGUCAAUGUCCAUGCACUGGUUGUUGAAGAGCUUCAAGUUGCUGAAUAUUUGCACUUGAAAGAAGAACUUGUAGAUGGAAGUUCGAACGGUAACUUCGUUCUUGAGCUUGAUUUUGAGCCAUUUAAUGCUUCCUUUCCUCGGCCUACUCUCUCCAAGUCCAUUGGCAAUGGCGUUGAGUUCCUCAACCGUCACCUCUCUGCAAAGCUAUUCCAUGGUAAAGAGAGUAUGCAGCCAUUGCUGGACUUCCUCAGAGUUCACUGCUACAAGGGAAAGACGAUGAUGUUGAAUGAUAGAAUUCAGACCCUGAAUGCCUUCCAGCAUGUGCUGAGGAAGGCAGAGGAGUAUCUAGCAACACUUGCACCUGAAACACCCUACUCCGAGUUUGCAAACAAGUUCCAGGAGAUUGGCCUAGAGAGAGGAUGGGGCAACACUGCCGAGCGUGUUCUCGAAAUGAUCCAACUUCUUUUGGAUCUCCUCGAGGCCCCUGAUCCUUGCACAUUCGAGAAGUUCCUUGGUAGAAUCCCCAUGGUCUUUAAUGUUGUCAUCCUUUCGCCCCACGGUUACUUUGCACAAGAUAAUGUCUUGGGUUACCCUGAUACUGGUGGCCAGGUGGUUUACAUCUUGGACCAAGUUCGUGCUUUGGAGCAUGAAAUGCUUCAACGUAUAAAGCAGCAAGGAUUGGACAUAACUCCUCGCAUUCUCAUUAUCACCCGACUCCUUCCAGAUGCAGUAGGAACCACCUGCACCCAGCGUCUCGAGAAAGUAUUUGGGACAGAGCACUCCCACAUUCUUCGAGUUCCAUUCAGAAACGAGAAAGGAAUAGUCCGAAAGUGGAUCUCACGAUUUGAAGUCUGGCCUUACCUAGAGACUUACACCGAGGAUGUUGCACAGGAACUUACCAAAGAGUUGCAGGGAAAACCCGAUCUGAUCAUUGGAAACUACAGCGACGGCAAUAUCGUUGCCUCAUUGCUGGCACAUAAACUGGGAGUUACACAGUGUACUAUCGCUCAUGCCUUGGAGAAAACUAAAUAUCCUGAUUCAGAUAUUUAUUGGAAGAGAUUUGAUGACAAGUAUCACUUCUCAUCCCAAUUCACAGCUGAUCUUAUUGCCAUGAACCAUACCGAUUUCAUCAUCACAAGUACUUUCCAAGAGAUUGCUGGCAGCAAAGAUACAGUUGGACAAUAUGAGAGUCACACAGCUUUCACUCUUCCGGGGCUCUACCGAGUGGUCCACGGAAUUGAUGUGUUUGAUCCCAAGUUCAACAUUGUUUCACCUGGAGCAGACAUGAGUAUCUACUUCCCGUACACAGAGACCGAGAAGAGGCUGACUUCCUUCCACCCUGAAAUCGAGGAGCUUCUUUAUAGUGAAGUUGAGAAUGAGGAACACUUGUGUGUAUUGAAAGAUCGGUCCAAGCCGAUCAUAUUCACAAUGGCGAGAUUGGAUCGUGUGAAGAACAUAACUGGACUUGUCGAGUGGUACGGCAAGAACAAGCGCCUUAGGGAGUUGGUUAACCUAGUGGUUGUGGCUGGAGACCGGAGGAAGGAGUCUAAGGACAAUGAAGAGAAGGCUGAGAUGGAAAAGAUGUAUAGCCUAAUAAAGACCUACAACCUGAAUGGCCAAUUUAGAUGGAUUUCUGCACAGAUGAACCGAGUAAGAAACGGUGAACUCUACCGAUGCAUUGCAGACACGAAGGGAGCUUUUGUGCAGCCUGCUGUGUACGAAGCUUUCGGUUUGACAGUUGUGGAGGCCAUGACCUGUGGAUUACCUACCUUUGCCACAUGCAAUGGAGGUCCUGCUGAGAUUAUCAUCGACGGUAAAUCUGGCUUCCAUAUCGAUCCAUACCGUGGUGAUCGUGCUGCUGAAAUCCUUGUCGACUUCUUCGAGAAGAGCAAGGAAGACCCAUCACAUUGGGAUAAAAUCUCCCAAGCAGGCCUCCAGCGUAUCUACGAGAAGUAUACAUGGCAGAUCUAUUCGGAGAGGCUGCUAACACUAACUGGAGUUUACGGAUUCUGGAAGCAUGUAUCCAACCUUGACCGCCUCGAGAGCCGCCGUUAUUUGGAAAUGUUUUACGCCCUCAAGUACCGCAAGCUGGCUGAUUCUGUGCCACAGGCUGUGGAUGAGUGAGAAAGCUUGGAAGGGAAAUGAAAGAGGGGAGCAUCAGUAAUGGAGAAAAAUAGUUGUUCUCUGAUUUCCACAGGAGUUAAUAAAAAGAGAGAUAUGUUGAUGCUUCCUGCAAAUGUGAAUAAU
rnacentral:misc_RNA from 1 species